rnacentral:rRNA from 1 species
UACGUAGGGCGCGAGCGUUGUCCGGAUUAUUGGGCGUAAAGAGCUCGUAGGCGGCUUGUUGCGUCAGCUGUGAAAACCCGCAGCUCAACUGUGGGCUUGCAGCCGAUACGGGCAGGCUAGAGUUCGGUAGGGGAGACUGGAAUUCCUGGUGUAGCGGUGAAAUGCGCAGAUAUCAGGAGGAACACCGGUGGCGAAGGCGGGUCUCUGGGCCGAUACUGACGCUGAGGAGCGAAAGCGUGGGGAGCGAACAGG